rnacentral:pre_miRNA from 1 species
AUCUAUUUACUUCCUCCGUCCCUAAAUAAUUGUAGUUAGAGAGAAUAGUUUAGUUCUUUCCAACUACAAUUAUUUAGGUACAGAGGGAGUAUGUAGGA